GGGUGAGGGCAAUCCAGCUGUGACAUCUGUCAUCCCAUUAAUCAUCAGGGUUGAUUCAGCUAAUCUGGCUGGCUAGGCAGGUGUCCCUUUCCUCCCUCACCACUCCAUGUGCAUCCCUCCUGAAGCUGUGUGCUUGGUCAAAGAGGACAACCAUUCCUGAUAGAGGACCAUUCUUCGAUCAAGGGUGUAUGAAUACCUUCACUCCCCUGCUGGAACCACCAGACAAGCUCUCACACUAACCCUUUAAAUCAGAGGCUAACAGUAGAGGAAUCUCGAGAUUCGAACCCAAGGACCUGAUGCAUGAGAAGUUCACUU
rnacentral:snRNA from 1 species